UACGUAGGGUGCGAGCGUUGUCCGGAAUUAUUGGGCGUAAAGGGCUCGUAGGCGGUCUGUCACGUCGGGAGUGAAAACACGGGGCUUAACCCCGUGCCUGCUUCCGAUACGGGCAGACUAGAGGUAUGCAGGGGAGAACGGAAUUCCUGGUGUAGCGGUGAAAUGCGCAGAUAUCAGGAGGAACACCGGUGGCGAAGGCGGUUCUCUGGGCAUGUCCUGACGCUGAGGAGCGAAAGUGUGGGGAGCGAACAGG
rnacentral:rRNA from 1 species